AGGGCAUACAUCUAACAGAAACAGAAUACUCUCAAAAUCACCAAGUGGGCGGUGCUUUUGAGUUUUUAACCAUUGGAUGGAGAGAUAUAGGGUUGAGAUGAUGGUGGUAGGUGGUGGUAGGUGGAAUAGUAUUUGAUCUAAGGGGUGUUAGUAAUUAUGGAGUGAAUCCAAGGGCUAGAAACUUAGAAGUACCAAAGGAUUGGUGCUUCUAAAAGUAUUCUAGCUAAAUUCAUAUAUAUAUAUAUAUAUAUAUAUAUAUAUAUAGAGAGAGAGAGAGAGAGAGAGAGAGAGAGAGAGAGAGAGAGAGAGAAAGUCCGGCUACUAUACUUUUAUGAGUAUUGGCUCCCUUAUACUCAUAAGUUUUCGGCCUUUAGAUUUAUUCCAUUAAUUAUUUUCAUCCGUUAGAUCAUACUAUUUAACCAACUACCUACUCAACCCUAGGGGACCACUAUCAUUUU
rnacentral:lncRNA from 1 species